AGAAUCAACGCUGGCGGCGUGCCUAACACAUGCAAGUCGCACGAGAAAGGGACUUCGGUCCUGAGUACAGUGGCGCACGGGUGAGUAACACGUGAAUUAUCUACCUCCGAGUGGGGAAUAACUGAGAGAAAUCUUAGCUAAUACCGCAUAACACUUACGAGUCAAAGCAGCAAUGCGCUUGGAGAGGAGUUCGCGGCAGAUUAGUUAGUUGGCGGGGUAAUGGCCCACCAAGACGAUGAUCUGUA
rnacentral:rRNA from 1 species